rnacentral:lncRNA from 1 species
GGGAGCUCAAGUAGCUUGUAAGGGGAGACUGUCCUUCUCUGAAAGUUGCUUGAAAGAAUCACUCAGACAUACUCUGUCCUCAAAGCAUCACUUCCCUGCUUGUUUCUUGGCUCAGCAAUAAAAGCUGAUAAAGGCAAUCCUUUCAGUUUUAACGUUCAUCCAAUUCAUUAAUUUGGUGGCUCGAGUAAGGGGUUAAGAAUCUGCUUUGCAGCAACUUGGAUUGGGCUACAGAGGGAUGACAAAAAAAUCUAGUUCUAUAAACUUAAAAUGUGAUGUUGGACUACUGAACUGAAGCAUGCUCAGCUCCCCAGUGGAUGCUUAUCUUCACAGAAUACCAAAAGCACGCCCACAUGCUGAUCUUCAUCCCAAUGAAUUCAUUUGGAUAAAUCAGGGUAAGUAUUUGAAAUGAACAUUGCCUUUGAAAACCGUCAAAACAUUUUUCAAGCAGUCUUUUCCACCAACAGGAUGAACUAAGCUGGCGCUGCAGCUACCUUGUAAAAGCUAAAGUGACAUAUUAUUCUACAACAAGAUCCUGCUUUGAUUAUUUUUCCUCCUAUAAUUGAUGGCAACUCCUCCUCAUCCUCAAAGGAGGUAGACUGAAAUAAGAAACAGAAGUGAAGAGGAUGUGUUACAGGAACAGGACAGCACUCUUUGUUGCCAUCGAUGUUAACUCAGUUUAAUGGUAAAGGUACCUCACUGGGGUGAACUUGCAGUUUGGACCUAAAAAGGACAGUAUUUUUUCAUUCCACUGCACAGUGUCAUUGAAACAUGUACAGAAACCACAUUAAUUCCAAAUCUGAAAGUCAAUGGCAGCUCAAAAGGCCACGAUGGGCAGCAGCUGAUCUGUGGGAGAUGACUGCAGAACUACUUCAGUAGAGUGAUGAAUAAGUGUUAACUGAUAAUGUUUCCUGUCCCAAUGAAUGGGAGAAACAAUGAAUUAGGAUAUUUAGUUCUGUAAGGAAAUGCCAGUUGUGCAAGAAAGAAACAAGAUCAACGUUUCCAUGGCAAGUAGCAACACAGCAAAUAUCACCCGAAUAACUAAAAGUGAACUGCUACAUUUUAUCCACUGGCAGAAUGCAGGUUGUUUAUCCAGUUCCAAAGAUAU